AUGCCAAUUGGUAAAACCAGGGGUACAACAUUUUUUGCUAUCGAUUACAGUAAAGGCACACCAAAAGUUAAAGCCAAAACACCAUCGCAACCUGCACCAAGGUUUAAGUUCACAACCCUUCAUAGGGUGAAUGUUGAUUCCAAGAGAAACGUUUCUCCAGAGACUGUUAAAGAUACAAAUGUAUAUCCAGAUGUUUCGAAAGUGAUUGACCUUGAUAACUCCGUAGAAAUUCUUAGCUCUCAUAGUCCAAAGCAAUUAAAAACUCCAGUGAAGAACGACAGACAGUUGAGUGCGAAAACUGAAAGCACACGAAGGCUGUCUUCUCUGACUGAUAUUGUUGUUGUUCCAUGCAAAGCAAGUGAUAAACAUAAAUCUAGUGCUAAAUCUGGUCAAAUUCCAUCACAAUCUGAAGCACUCUCUGAGGACAACAUUGGAUUGUCAGUGGAAACUCCUUCAAAAAGAUCCCGAAUCUCCUCUCUCGCUGAAGUAGUUGUUGUCAAACCAGGAAUGGACAUAAUUCAUGAGCCUGCAACUAAUUCUGCAGAAUCCUGCAGGAAAUCUGUUCAGGAUGCGUCUCUGGCAGGAAUAGUAAUCAUCCCUGCUGAUACAAAUGCUAGUAACAAGAGAGUCUCAGCCUGUCCAAGGGCAGCAAUCAAUGGGGAAAUUCUAAAUGUUAGCCCGGAAGGUCAUGAUCAUUUGCAAACCCAAGCACAGGCCAAGUUUUCAGAUUUACCCCCUGAAGUCAAUAAUAGGCUGAAUUCACCCCUAGUUGAAAAUAGUUCUGGUGUGCCAUCCCCGAAAUCUUCACCUUGCGAUCUUAGCAGUGUUUUUAAGACACCUCUAAAAACGCCUUUGAAGACACCAGCAAGAAGCACGCGUGCAUCUGCAGCAAAGAAGAACAAUUCGGUUAGUGAGGAAAGAGUGAACACAAAAACACCCUUAAACCCUGUCAGAAAAAGCAGGGUCAAAGCUGCAGCUCAGAGUACUCCUAAUUUCUCCAUAGUAGAAGAUCUGUCUGUCAGUGGAGUUAGUGAUGUCUUCGAAUCUCCUGCAAAGACUCCUAGAAAAUCAAUGCAGAGUACAAUAGCCCUUGGCUUAGAUGUAACCCAGCAAUCUUCAGCUGAGACCCCUAGUAAAUCAACACUCAUCAAUAAUGCGACUGUCACACUGUCUGAUGUGGAUUGCGAUGAAACGCUCACAUUAUCAAAAUCAGCUGAACCCUCAACCUUGGCAUUUAAGAGCACCCACAAGAAGGCAACCACCUCGCUAGAAGCAGAUGCGACUUUUGAAGUGCUAUCUCCCAAUAUCAGAUCAGUUAAUGAAGAAGAAAUAGACAGGGCCAACUUAUCAUCAAAAGUAAGUCAAAGUGAAACAGCCCGAUACUCCAAUCUUGGAAUGUCUUGUAACUCAAAGACAAUGGCAUCUACAGCUCUCACCAGUUCAGGAUCGGAUGAAGUUGUUUUGUCUUUAAGUGUUGAAUCCAGUGGAUUUUCUGAUUCUCUUUUUGAAACCCCUAACAGAGUAACCCGUAACUCCACCUUUAGUGGCUCAAAAGUUAAUAUUCCCUCUAGCACUCCUGAAAAUCUAACAGAAAUAAACAAAGAUGUGUGCUCUAAGAAAGCAAAGAUAGUUCCAAUAAUCAAAAUCAAUGAUGAAAUUUAUGAGACUCCCAACAGAGCCUCAAAUUACAAAAGUCUAAAACUCCUGUUCCUAUUGCUCCUCCUGAAAGGUCAGAAAAUGAAAUAA
rnacentral:lncRNA from 1 species